rnacentral:tRNA from 1 species
GCCUUCGCCGUGCAACCAUAGCACUCUCGGCUUGUAUUCGAGAGGUCCAGGUUCGAGUCCCGGCGAGGGCA